AAACGAUGUCGACUAGAUGUUUGGGGGAGGAGACCNCUUAGUACCGCACUAACGCGUGAAGUCGACCGCCUGGGGAGUACGGUCGCAAGAUUAAACUCAAAGAAAUUGACGGGGACCCGCACAAGCGGUGGAUGAUGUGGAUUAAUUCGAUGAACGCGAAAAACCUUACCUACCCUUGACAUGUCAGGAAGUCCGCUGAGAGGUGGAUGUGCCGAUAAGGGAACCUGAACACAGGUGCUGCAUGGCUGUCGUCAGCUCGUGUCGCGAGAUUUGGGUUAAGUCCCGCAACGAGCGCAACCCUUGUCAUUAGUUGCUACAUUCAGUUGGGCCUCUAAUGAGACUGCCGGUGACAAACCGGAGGAAGGUGGGGAUGACGUCAAGUCCUCAUGCCCUUAUGGGUAGGGCCUCACACGUCAUACAAUGGCGGAUACAGAGGGUUGCCAACCCCGAGGGGGAGCCAAUCCCAGAAAGUCCGUCGUAGUCCGGAUCGGAGUCUGCAACUCGACCCGUGAAGUCGGAAUCGCUAGUAAUCGCGGAUCAGCAUGUCGCGGUGAAUACGUUCCCGGUCUUGUACACACCGCCCGUCACACCAUGGGAGCGGUUUCACCAGAAGUAGCUAGCCUACCCGCAAGGGGGGCGGUUACCACGGUGAGAUCCGUGACUGGGGUG
rnacentral:rRNA from 1 species